rnacentral:rRNA from 1 species
CGCGUAGGCGGCCUCUUAAGUCGAACGUGAAAUCCCCGGGCUCAACCCGGGAACUGCGUCCGAUACUGGGAGGCUUGAAUCCGGGAGAGGGAUGUGGAAUUCCAGGUGUAGCGGUGAAAUGCGUAGAUAUCUGGAGGAACACCGGUGGCGAAGGCGGCAUCCUGGACCGGCAUUGACGCUGAGGCGCGAAAGCCAGGGGAGCAAACG